AGAGUUCGAUCCUGGCUCAAGAUGAUCGCUAGCGGCAUGGUUAACACAUGCAAGUCAGAUGGGAAACACGAGAAAUGGUGUUUACAGUUGCGGAUGGGUGAGUAAUGCGUAAGAACCUGCCCUUCGGAGGGGAACUAAAGUUGGAAACGACUGCAAAUACCCCGUAGGCUGAGGAGCAAAAGGAGGAAUCUACCGAAGGAGGGGCUCGCGUCUGAUUAGCUAGUUGGUGAGGCAAUAGCUUACCAAGGUGAUGAUUAGUAGCUAGUCCGAGAGGAUGAUCAGCCACAUUGGGACUGAGACACGGCCUAGACUCCUACGGGAGGCAGCAGUGGGGAAUUUUCUGCAAUGGGCAAAAGCCUGACAGAGCAAUGCCGCGUGGAGGUAGAAGGCCCACGGGUCAUGUACUUCUUUUCACGGAGAAAAAGCAAUAAUGGUAUCUAGGGAAUAAGCAUCGGCUACCUCUGUGCUAGCAGCCACGAUAAUAUAAAGGAUGUAAGCGUUAUCCGGAAUGAUUGGGCGUAAAGCAUCUGUAGGUGGCUUUUUAAGUCCGCCGUCAAAUCCCAGGGCUCAACCCUGGACAGGCGAUGGAAACUACCAAGAUGGAGUACGGUAGGGGCAGAGCAAAUUUCUGGUUGAGUGGUAAAAUGCGUAGAGAUCGGAAGAACACCAACGGUGAAAGCACUCUGUUGGGCCGACACUGACACUAAGAGAUGAAAGUUAGGGGAGCAAAUGGGAUUAGAUACCCCAGUAGUCCUAGCCAUAAACGAUGGAUACUAGGAGCUGUGCAUAUCGACCCGUGCUGUGCUGUAGCUAACGCGUUAAGUAUCCCACCUGGGGAGUACGUUCGCAAGAAUGAAACUCAAAGGAAUUGAAAGGGGCCCGCACAAGCGGUGAAGCAUGUGGUUUAAUUCGAUGAAAAGCGAAGAACCUUACCAGGGCUUAACAUGCUGCGAAUCCUCUUGAAAGAGAGGGGUGCCUUCUGGAACAUAGACAAAGGUGGUGCAUGGCUGUCGUCAGCUCGUGCCGUAAGGUGUUGGGUUAAGUCCCGCAACGAGUGCAACCCCCGUGUUUAGUUGCCAUCAUUGAGUUUGGAACCCUAAACAGACUGCCGAUGAUAAGCCGGAGGAAGGUGAGGAGACGUCAAGUCAUCAUGCCCCUUAUACCCUAGGCGACACACGUUCUACAAUGGCUGGGACAAAGGGUCGUGAUCCCGCGAGGGUGAGCUAACCCCAAAAACCCAUCCUCAGUUCGGAUUGUAGGCUGUAACUCUCCUGCAUGAAGCUGGAAUCACUAGUAAUUACCGGUCAGCCAUAUGGCGGUAAAUUUAUUCUCGGGCCUUGUACACACCGCUCAUCACACUAUAGGAGCUGGCCAUGCCCGAAGUCGUUACCUUAACCGCAAGGAGGGGGAUGUCGAAGGCAGGGCUAGUGGCUGGAUCACCUCCU
rnacentral:rRNA from 1 species